rnacentral:rRNA from 1 species
GCUCGAAAGAGAGCCGUAACACAGGUGCUGCAUGGCUGUCGUCAGCUCGUGUCGUGAGAUGUUGGGUUAAGUCCCGCAACGAGCGCAACCCUUGUCAUUAGUUGCUACAUUCAGUUGGGCACUCUAAUGAGACUGCCGGUGACAAGCCGGAGGAAGUGGGGAUGACGUCAAGUCCUCAUGGCCCUUAUAGGUGGGGCUACACACGUCAUACAAUGGCUGGUACAAAGGGUUGCCAACCCGCGAGGGGGAGCCAAUCCCAUAAAGCCAGUCGUAGUCCGGAUCGUAGUCUGCAACUCGACUACGUGAAGUCGGAAUCGCUAGUAAUCGUGGAUCAGAAUGUCACGGUGAAUACGUUCCCGGGUCUU